UCGCGGCUUAUCACCGGCAGUCCCCUUAGAGUGCCCAACUGAAUGAUGGCAACUAAGGGCGAGGGUUGCGCUCGUUGCGGGACUUAACCCAACAUCUCACGACACGAGCUGACGACAGCCAUGCAGCACCUGUGUUACGGCUCCCUUUCGGGCACACCCCCAUCUCUGGGGGCUUCCGUACAUGUCAAGGGCAGGUAAGGUUCUUCGCGUUGCAUCGAAUUAAGCCACAUACUCCACCGCUUGUGCAGGCCCCCGUCAAUUUCUUUGAGUUUUAAUCUUGCGACCGUACUCCCCAGGCGGAUGACUUCUCGCGUUAGCUGCGUUACUAAAGGAUUUAACUCCUCCAACAACUAGUCAUCAUCGUUUAGGGCGUGGACUAC
rnacentral:misc_RNA from 1 species